rnacentral:lncRNA from 1 species
UACAUUAGAAAUUAAGUCAAUAAAAUUAACAAAAAAAAAUACAUAUUCUUUUGUUUUAGUGUUUAAAACAUAUAUUGAAUUUUUAAAAAUGGUUUAAAAUAAGUAAUUCACUCUGCCAAUGUUGAUUUGAUGUAAUAAAUCUAGUCACCUUGAGAAGGCUAUUAUGUUAAAUAAAUACAUUAAAUAGCUAAGUAAUAUGUAUAUGAAUAUGUCAUUUUCACUCAAAGACAUGCAUUUGGAGUGUUUCAACCAUCCUAUAAUGUUCAAAGCAAACAUAGCUCUUUACCCAUGUAUCCAUCUAAUAGGUUUCACGUUUCAAAUAAAAGUAGUUCUACGUUAUUUUCACAUUUUGGUUUUUUUUUCAUUAGUUUAACCCAUCUUUGUCUUUAUAAACUCUCAUUUUCUUUUUCUUUUUUUUCAUGGUCAUUAUUUUAAAACAACACACUAUGAUUUCAAUACAUUAUAGUUUAGAAUUUUAGAUUUAUAAAAAUUCAAAUAUCAAUACAUUACAAUUUAAGUCAAUAAUAUUAAUCAUAAAAAUAGACAGAAUCUCUUGUUUUAGUGUUUAAAACGUAUUGUUAAUUUUUCAAAAUGGUUUAAAAUAAGUAAUUCACUCUACCAAUGUUGAUUUGAUGUAAUAAAUCUAGUCACCUCGAGAAGGCUAUUAUGUUAAACAAAUACAUCAAGUAGCUAGGUCAUAUGUAUAUGAAUAUGUCAUUUUCACUCAAAGACAUGCAUUUGGAGUGCUUCAACCCAUCCUAUAAUGUUCAAAGCAUACUUAGCUCUUUACCCAUGUAUCCAUCUAAUAGGUUUAACAUUUCAAAUAAAAGUAGUUCUACGUUAUUUUUCACAUUUUGUUUUGUUUUGAUAACUUUAACCCAUCUUUGUCUUUAUAAACUUUCAUUUUUUUCAUGGUCAUAGUUUUAAAACAACCUAUUAUGAUAUCAAUACAUUAUAUUUUAGAAUUUCAAAUUUAUAAAAAUUUCAAAUUGCAAUACAUUACAAUUUAAGUCACAAAAAAAAUAAUCAUAAAAAUAGACAGAUUCUCUUGUUUUAGUGUUUAAAACAUAUAUUAAUUUUUAAAAAUGGUCUAAAAUCAGUAAUUCAUUCUACCAAUGUUGAUUUGGUGUAAUAAACCUAGUCAGUUUGAGAAGGCUACUAUUUUAAACAAAUAUAUUAAGUAGCUAUGUAAUAUUUAUCUGAAUAUAUCAUUUUAAAUCAAUGACCAUGUUUCCAACUAAUAUGUUUCACGUUUCUUAUAAAAGUAGUUCUACAUUAUUUUCACCUUUUGUUUUGUUUUCAUAACUUUAACCCAUCUUUGUCCUUAUAAACUUUUAUUUUCUUUAUUUCGUUUUUUCAUGGUCAUUAUUUUAAAACAACAUAAUAUGAUUAUCUAUACAUUAUAUUUUAGAAUUUUAGAUUUUAAAAAAUUCAAAUAUGAAUACAUUACAAAUUAAGUCAAUAAAAUUAACAAAACAAAUAUGCGUACUCUUUUGUUUUAAUGUUUAAAACAUAUAUUUAAUUUUUAAAAAUGGUUUAAAAUAAGUAAUUCACUCUACCGAUGUUGAUUUGAUGUAAUAAAUCUAGUCACCUUGAAAAGGCUAUUAUGUUAAAUAAAUACAUUAAGUAGUUAAUUAAUAUGUGUAUGAAUAUGUCAUUUUAACUCAAACAUAUGCAUUUGGAGUUUUUCAACCCAUCCUAUAAUGUUCAAAGCAAACUUACCUCUUUACCCAUGUAUCCAUCUAAUAGGUUUCACGUUUCAAAUAAAAGUAGUUCUACGUUAUUUACAUAUUUUAUUUUGUUUUUGAUAACUUUAACCCAUCUUCGUCUCUAUAAACUUUCAUUUUCUUUAUUUUUUUCAUGGUCUUUAUUUUAAAACAACAUAUUAUGAUAUCAAUACAUUAUAUUUUCGAAUUUUAGAUUUAUAGAAAUUCAAAUAUCAAAACAUUACCAUUUAAGUCAAUAAAAUUAAUCAUAAAAAUUGUCAGAUUCUCCUGUUUUAGUGUUAAAACAUAUAUUAGUUUUUAAAAAUGGUCUAAAAUAAGUACUUCACUCUACCAAUGUUGAUUUGGUGUAAUAAACCUAGUCACAUUGAGAAGGCUACUAUGUUAAACAAAUAAAUUAAGUAGCUAAGUAAUAUUUAUAUGAAUAUGUCAUUUUAAAUCAAUGACCAUUUAUCUAUCUAACAGGUUUCACGUUUCUUAUAAAAGUACUUCUACGUUAUUUUCACCUUUUGUUUUGUUUUCAUAACUUUAACCCAUCUCUAUCUUUAUAAACUUUUAUUUUCUUUAUUUCUUUUUUUCAUGGUCAUUAUUUUAAAACAACCUAAUAUAAUAUCUAUACAUUAUAUUUUAUAAUUUUAGAUUUAAAAAAAUUCAAAUUUGAAUACAUUAGAAAUUAAGUCAAUAAAAUUAACAAAAAAAAAUACAUAUUCUUUUGUUUUAGUGUUUAAAACAUAUAUUGAAUUUUUAAAAAUGGUUUAAAAUAAGUAAUUCACUCUGCCAAUGUUGAUUUGAUGUAAUAAAUCUAGUCACCUUGAGAAGGCUAUUAUGUUAAAUAAAUACAUUAAAUAGCUAAGUAAUAUGUAUAUGAAUAUGUCAUUUUCACUCAAAGACAUGCAUUUGGAGUGUUUCAACCAUCCUAUAAUGUUCAAAGCAAACAUAGCUCUUUACCCAUGUAUCCAUCUAAUAGGUUUCACGUUUCAAAUAAAAGUAGUUCUACGUUAUUUUCACAUUUUGGUUUUUUUUUCAUUAGUUUAACCCAUCUUUGUCUUUAUAAACUCUCAUUUUCUUUUUCUUUUUUUUCAUGGUCAUUAUUUUAAAACAACACACUAUGAUUUCAAUACAUUAUAGUUUAGAAUUUUAGAUUUAUAAAAAUUCAAAUAUCAAUACAUUACAAUUUAAGUCAAUAAAAUUAAUCAUAAAAAUACACAUAUUAUCUUGUUUUAGUGUUUAAAACAUAUAUAUAAUUUUUAAAAUGGUAUAAAAUAAGUAAUUCACUCUACCAAUGUUGAUUUGGUGUAAUAAACCUAGUCACCUUGAGAAGACUACU